GACGAACCGUGCGAACGUUAUUCGGAAUCACUGGGCUUAAAGCGCGUGUAGGCGGGCCGGCACGUCGGCUGCUGAAAUCCCCCGGCUCAACCGGGGAAGGGGCACCGAUACGACCGGCCUGGAGGGGGGUAGGGGGCGCCGGAACUUCCGGUGGAGCGGUGAAAUGCGUUGAGAUCGGAAGGAACGCCCGUGGCGAAAGCGGGCGCCUGGACCCCGCCUGACGCUGAGACGCGAAAGCCAGGGGAGCGAACGGG
rnacentral:rRNA from 1 species